rnacentral:rRNA from 1 species
CAUACAAGGCAGACGGCUCAGUAACGCGUAGUCAACCUAACCUAUGGACGGGAAUAACCUCGGGAAACUGAGUAUAAUGCCCGAUAGAACACUAUACCUGGAAUGGUUUGUGUUCCAAAUGAUUUAUCGCCGUAGGAUGGGACUGCGGCCUAUCAGUUUGUUGGUGAGGUAAUGGCCCACCAAGACUAUUACAGGUACGGGCUCUGAGAGGAGUAGCCCGGAGAUGGGUACUGAGACACGGACCCAGGCCCUAUGGGGCGCAGCAGGCGAGAAAACUUUGCAAUGUGCGAAAGCACGACAAGGUUAAUCCGAGUGGUUUCUGCUAAAGAAACCUUUUGUUAGUCAUAGAACCACUAAUGAAUAAGGGGUGGGCAAGUUCUGGUGUCAGCCGCCGCGGUAAAACCAGCACCUCAAGUGGUCAGGAUGAUUAUUGGGCCUAAAGCAUCCGUAGCCGGCUCUGUAAGUUUUCGGUUAAAUCUGUACGCUCAACGUACAGGCUGCCGGGAAUACUGCAGAGCUAGGGAGUGGGAGAGGUAGACGGUACUCGGUAGGAAGGGGUAAAAUCCUUUGAUCUAUUGAUGACCACCUGUGGCGAAGGCGGUCUACCAGAACACGUCCGUCGGUGAGGGAUGAAAGCUGGGGGAGCAAACCGGAUUAGAUACCCGGGUAGUCCCAGCUGUAAACUAUGCAAACUCAGUGAUGCAUUGGCUUGUGGCCAAUGCAGUGCUGCAGGGAAGCCGUUAAGUUUGCCGCCUGGGAAGUACGUACGCAAGUAUGAAACUUAAAGGAAUUGGCGGGGGAGCACCACAAGGGGUGAAGCCUGCGGUUCAAUUGGAGUCAACGCCGGA